rnacentral:rRNA from 1 species
GACGAACGCUGGCGGCAUGCCUAAUACAUGCAAGUCGAGCGAACAGAUGAAGGGCUUGCACUUCUGACGUUAGCGGCGAACGGGUGAGUAACACGUAAGGAAUCUACCUAUAAGCGGGGGAUAACAUUCGGAAACGGGUGCUAAUACCGCAUAAUAUCUUCUUCCGCAUGGAAGAAGAUUGAAAGACGGCUCUGCUGUCACUUAUAGAUGACCUUGCGGUGCAUUAGUUAGUUGGUGGGGUAAUGGCCUACCAAGACGAUGAUGCAUAGCCGACAUGAGAGGGUGAUCGGCCACAUUGGGACUGAGACACGGCCCAAACUCCUACGGGAGGCAGCAGUAGGGAAUCUUCCGCAAUGGGCGAAAGCCUGACGGAGCAAUGCCGCGUGAGUGAAGAAGGCCUUCGGGUCGUAAAACUCUGUUAUAAGAGAAGAACAAAUUGUAGAGUAACUGCUACAGUCUUGACGGUAUCUUAUCAGAAAGCCACGGCUAACUACGUGCCAGCCGCCGCGGUAA